GCCAUCGCAGUAAAGUGCAGAAAUAUCUGCCUUCCAAGCAGAUGUCCUGGGUUCGAUUCCCAGUGAUUGCA